UACGGGAGGUAGCAGUGGGGAAUAUUGCACAAUGGGCGAAAGCCUGAUGCAGCUAUGCCGCGUGUAUGAAGAAGGCCUUAGGGUUGUAAAGUACUUUCAUCGGGGAGGAAAAACAAAACUAAUAAUUUUAUUUCUUGACGUUACCCGAAAAAGAAGCACCGGCUAACUCCGUGCCAGCAGCCGCGGUAAUACGGAGGGUGCUAGCGUUAAUCAGAAUUACUGGGCGUAAAGAGCACGUAGGUGGUUUUUUUAAGUCAGAUGUGAAAUCCCUGGGCUUAACCUGGAACUGCAUUUUGAAACUGAAAUACUAGAGUAUCGUAGAGGGAGGUAGAAUUCUAGGUGUAGCGGUGAAAUGCGUAGAUAUCUGGAGGAAUACCUGUGGCGAAAGCGGCCUCCUAAACGAAUACUGACACUGAGGGUGCGAAAGCGUGGGGAGCAAACAGGGAUUAGAUACC
rnacentral:rRNA from 1 species